rfam:Ictidomys tridecemlineatus contig081935, whole genome shotgun sequence.
GGGCUUUUGCUUCUGGCUGUGUGUGCCACACAUGGGCCCACUCCAGGGACAGUGCCAGGUGGGGAGUUUGACUGGGGAGGUACACCUGUCAAACGGUAAUGCAGGUGUCCUAAGGCGAGCUCAGGAAGGACAGAAACCUCCUGUGGAGCAGAAAGGCAAAAGUUUGCUCUGUCUGGAUUUUCAGUAUGAAUACAGUCGGUGAAAGCAGGGCCUCACUAUCCUUCUGACCUUUUAGGUUUUAAGUAGGAGGUGUCUGAAUGGUUACC